rnacentral:lncRNA from 1 species
ACUGACUGGAGAUCCCAAAGGUGCUCUUUUUACAGCCACUUCCCAGGCAGGAGGAUUUCCAUCCUUGCAGCAUUGCUCUGUCAUGACCUUGCCUCUGUUCCAGGCUAUGGAAUGGGGCUGAGCUACACCUUACACAACCUGCAGACCAAGCUGGAGGCCCCCAACACAACCAAAAUUGGAUCAAUUCUUUUGUAACAAUGCCAAAGCUGGUAUCCACUAACCAUCCCACUUGAAAAAAUACCACCCAGCUCCCUAGAGAGGCCACAGUGAGAAGCCAUCAGCUCUAGCAAACGUUUUCUAUGGGAUCAAGGAAAUUGCAGUCACUUUCCUUACACUGGGACUUGAGGCAGCAUUGAAGGAGCAAGCCCUGUCUUCUGCUGUCCUGCAGGUCAGCCCUGGUUUGCCAGCUGGACUGGACUGCAGAAGUGACAGAGAGGGGAGCAAAGGCUGGGGAGAUUUACAAAUCUGCUCUAUACAUUGCAACAGACCUCAUGCAAAGUCAACAUGGCCUUGCAUCAUCAAGCACAGGCUGGAGCCAGGAAAGAGCUCAGCUGGAGAAGCCACAGAAUGA